CUGCGGGUUGGAUCCCAGGACCCCGGGGAUCGUGACCUGAGCCACUUAGACGCCCCUAAAAUGUCUAGUUUUCAGCAACAAAAAAUUCUAGAACACUGUAGAGAGCAAGACGAAGUCUUUCACUCAAGCAGGAACCUGUGUCUGGCAAUGCCCAAGCCGUUGAAGGUACCACAGCCACGAGAUCCUGCCGCGCCCAGCACUGAUAACCGGCAGAAGCCGAAGGCAUCUGCAGGCCCCAGACCCGUUAGAUCCGUUUAAAAAGGGAGGGUUUUGCAGCAAACGUCAGACUCUCCGGCCGGACACCUCUAGACAGACCCCCUCAGCCUGACCGCUUCAGAAAGGCAGCUGCUGCCCAAGCCUCGCCCGGCUGGUCUCCAAACAGGGCUGAGAUGCGUCCCUGCUUGAAGAGAAGCAGCACCUGCCGAGAGUGGACCGGGGCAAGACCCUGGCCCCCUCUCAGCCGCCGCCCGCAGACUGACUUGGGGUUCGGUUCGUGAACUCCCUGCCCCCUUGGUAUCUUGUCUGUGCUGUGCCGUGUAAGAAGCCAAGUCAGUCCCACGGUGAAAUGUCACUGAGUCUGGAAUCCUACACCCUCUUUACGUUACCCUCGCCUCAGAACCGAAUAAAGCCUAAAGCUGACACCGUGCGAAGACACGACUCGUGUGCGCACCUUCGCAGCCUCAGGACAAGUGCUCUCAGGGCACCCCCGGAAGGGAUUCAAGGGCGCCUGGGUGGCUCAGGGGGUUAAGCCAUUGCCUUUGGCUCAGGUCAUAAUCCUUGUCCCCGAACGGUGGUCGGCGCAUCUCCCACAAUGACCAGCAAAGAGGAAACCACCGAAACGUCCAGUCCAUGAGCCAUCGGGCAGAUGAGCAGAACGUGGCGUGUUCCUCAGCCACGGGGGAAGUUGUGACACGGUCCGAGUCUGGAGUUGGAACAAAGCUGACGGUGUCUGCGGCUGGAAAGGGAGGCGGCGCAGGCACGGGCUGCUCCUGAGGCCAAGAAAGCGUGCUCGGGAACAACACAGCCCCUGACGACCAAGAUGAGUAUUCUCGCGGGCGUCUGGCUCCGAGCUGGAGGAGCGGCAGGGAGUGGGACAGCUUCCCCGCCCCCCACGCUGCUUCUGUUCUGGGCGCGACAGCGGGCGGUGGAGUCCCGUCCUCCUGUGAGCUGGGUUCGUGACAGCCCCUCCUGUGUUGGUUGGAACUAGAGGCAAGCGUCCGCGAGUAACGGUGCUACGUGAGGCAGAAGUUUGCUCCCCCUUCCACGACACGGAGCUCCGCACAGCGGGGUUGUGCUGCCUCUGGGCGGCCGGGAAGUGCCCGCUCCUUUCCCCGCAUUCCCGACCCUGGCUGGGCAUCCUGCUGCAGACGCGCUCCGAGCUCCAGCCAUCACUUCCACAUUCCGGAGGGCAGGAGAAUGGAUCGGGCUCAGAGGGCCGGCGUCUCUGGGUGAGGCCUUUGCCUGGUGCUCACCUGGAAGCUUCUGUUCUUAUCCUACUGGCCAAAGCAUAGUCACAAGGCCAUACCUCCAGGCACAAGAAUCCAAAUUGGGGUCUAGGAGUACGGAGGACGGAACUAGACACAGUCGCAGACCCUGCUGCACCAUCAAAACAAAGCAUUUAUGACCUGAGAUUCUGUCCUUGUAUGUCUGACCUACAUUUUCACAGCCUGACGGCUCCUUGGUUUUCUCUUUUCAGCAGAUCCCAUGUGCAGCAUGGGGUACCACGCAGGGCUAGAACUCACAACCUCUUGAGAUCAAGACCUGAGCUGAGAUCGAGUCGGGCAGUUAACCCACUGAGCCACCCAGGCGCCCCAUAAAAAUAAAAUCUUAAAAAAAAAAAAGUAUCAUACAAACGACAUUACUGAAAAUCAGAACAGAAAUUCUGCUUCCCUGGAGCGCCUGGGUGGCUCAGUGGGUUAAAGCCUCUGCCUUCGGCUCAGGUCAU